AGUGUAGCUCAGCUGGUAGAGCAGCUGAUUUGUAAUCAGCAGGUCGGGGGUUCAAGUCCGUCCACU
rnacentral:tRNA from 1 species